rnacentral:rRNA from 1 species
UUCUUAUAGUUUAUUCUUAUAAGUAUCACCUGCUCAAUGAAUUAUUUAAAUAGCCGCGGAAAUUUAACCGUGCUAAGGUAGCAUAAUCAUUAGCCUCUUAAUUAGAGGCUUGUAUGAAGGGUGAAACAUUUCAAUUCCUUUAUUUUUAAUUUUUUUUUAAAUUAAAUUAAGAAUAAAAAUGUUCUUAUUAAUUAAAUAGACGAUAAGACCCUUUUGAACUUUACUGAAGUUUAGCUGGGGCAGCUAAGUAAUAAUUAUCUUUCUAAUUUUAUUUCAAUAAAUGACCCAAUAUAUUUGAUUAUAUGAACAAGUUACCAUAGGGAUAACAGCGUAAUAUCUUUUUAAAGCUCUUAUUAAAAAAGAAGUUUGCGACCUCGAUGUUGAAUAAUGUAACUUAUUUAGUGUAGUAAUUAAAAAAGUAAGUCUGUUCGACUUUUAAAACAUUACA